GGCAAAUGCACUCUGUGUCAUAUGAAUUUAAGCCACAUAUGAUGACAAUUUGUUAGUUUGCUAAAUGAAAGAGAUGCGUCUUAUCCAUGUGAUUAAUGCCGAUCAGGCUGAUUACAUUGAAAACGCACCUUACACCAU